rnacentral:rRNA from 1 species
GACGAACGCUGGCGGCGUGCUUAACACAUGCAAGUCGAACGGAAAGGCCCUGCUUUUGUGGGGUGCUCGAGUGGCGAACGGGUGAGUAACACGUGAGUAACCUGCCCUUGACUUUGGGAUAACUUCAGGAAACUGGGGCUAAUACCGGAUAGGAGCUCCUGCUGCAUGGUGGGGGUUGGAAAGUUUCGGCGGUUGGGGAUGGACUCGCGGCUUAUCAGCUUGUUGGUGGGGUAGUGGCUUACCAAGGCUUUGACGGGUAGCCGGCCUGAGAGGGUGACCGGCCACAUUGGGACUGAGGUACGGCCCAGACGCCUACGGGAGGCAGCAGUGGGGAAUAUUGCACAAUGGGGCGAAGCCUGAUGCAGCAACGCCGCGUGCGGGAUGACGGCCUUCGGGUUGUAAACCGCUUUCGCCUGUGACGAAGCGUGAGUGACGGUAAUGGGUAAAGAAGCACCGGCUAACUACGUG